UACGUAGGGUGCAAGCGUUAAUCGGAAUUACUGGGCGUAAAGCGUGCGCAGGCGGUUAUGUAAGACAGAUGUGAAAUGCCCGGGCUUAACCUGGGAACUGCAUUUGUGACUGCAUGGCUAGAGUUUGGCAGAGGGGGGUAGAAUUCCACGUGUAGCAGUGAAAUGCGUAGAUACGUGGUGAGGAACACCGAUGGCGAAGGCAGCCCCCUGGGUCAAGACUGACGCUCAUGCACGAAAGCGUGGGGAGCAAACAGG
rnacentral:rRNA from 1 species